AGCAAAUGAAAGGUUACCAAAGCGCAUGGACCUGCUGCGAGGGUCACCAGAGCCCGACCACAACACGUGCAACGGGUCAUUCAGGAAUGGAAAAAACAGGAAGUUUUCUGUGUGGCAGGAGGGCGACGCGCAGCCAGUUUCAACAGCAUCAGCAGGAAGUGCUGCAAAAGGAGUCUAAGGGAUUAAAGCGUGCCUGCCACAUGUGGCUAGCUAUUAGGAGAAAGGAGGGAGAGGACUGCAGGCAGGCAGGGCAGCAAACGCCGCACACCACCCGCUUUCUCAAGGGGAGCAUCAAAACGCCCGGGAACACAACGAUGCGAAGCAGCAGCCUGAGGCUCAACGGACUUUUUGCUCGUUUACACAAACUCUGAGGCGAAGCUGGUUCCCCCCGGGCCAAGUCGCCCACCGAGGGGGCUGUGGCGACGUGGAGACCCGCUCUGAGGAGAAACAGAAACUCCUUUUCUGCUUUCAAAAACCAUACAGAGAACUGAGACUCAGCUAGAGCACAGAACUACUGCAAGUGCACAGCUCGGAGGAUCACUGAUUGUGUGGGACUUCCAGACGCAACUGCAAUAUAAAUCAUAAACUCAUCUGCAUGUUUUCACAUAGCAGUAACUGGCAACUAGAUGCUGGGGGUAGGGAAGCAAUAAAUGAGACGCUGGGAAUGU